AUUGAACGCUGGCGGCAGGCCUAACACAUGCAAGUCGAGCGGAGCGGCGGUCGCGUGCGUAAUGCCUAGGUAUCUGCCAGGUAGUGGGGGAUAACGUCCGGAACCGGGCGCUAAAACUGCACCCUAUUAGCUGCGCAUAGGUCGGAAUAGCUAGUUGGUGGGGUAAAGGCCUACCAAGGCGACGACCCGUAACUGGUCUGAGAGGAUGAUCAGUCACACUGGAACUGAGACACGGUCCAGACUCCUACGGGAGGCAGCAGUGGGGAAUAUUGGACAAUGGGCGAAAGCCUGAUGCAGCCAUGCCGCGUGUGUGAAGAAGGUCUUCGGGUUGUAAAGCACUUUAAGUUGGGAGGCGUUACCAGCAGAAUAAGCACCGGCUAACUUCGUGCCAGCCGCCGCGGUAAUUC
rnacentral:rRNA from 1 species